rnacentral:tRNA from 1 species
GGUUCCAUAGUGUAGCAGUUAGCACGUCAGCUUUACACGCAGAAGGACCCGGGUUCAUGCCCCAGUGGAGCCA